rnacentral:hammerhead_ribozyme from 1 species
AUCUAACUGAUGAAUCCCAAAUAGUACGAAACGUGCGUCCGGUAU